rnacentral:piRNA from 1 species
UUGCAAUAAUCUUGCCACAAC